UACGGGGGGGGCAAGCGUUGUUCGGAAUUACUGGGCGUAAAGGGCUCGUAGGUGGCCAACUAAGUCGGACGUGAAAUCCCUCAGCUUAACUGGGGAACUGCGUCCGAUACUGGAUGGCUUGAGUUUGGGAGAGGGAUGCGGAAUUCCAGGUGUAGCGGUGAAAUGCGUAGAUAUCUGGAGGAACACCGGUGGCGAAGGCGGCAUCCUGGACCAACACUGACACUGAGGAGCGAAAGCGUGGGUAGCAAACAGG
rnacentral:rRNA from 1 species